GACGAACGCUGGCGGCGUGCUUAACACAUGCAAGUCGAACGAAGUGGCGAACGGGUGAGUAACGUGUAAUCAACCUGCCCUUCAGAGGGGGACAACAGUUGGAAACGACUGCUAAUACCGCAUACUGAUGGAGGGGAUUGCGUCUGAUUAGCUAGUCGGAGGGGUAACGGCCAACCAAGGUGAUGGUCAGUAGCCGGUCUGGAAGGAUGAACGGCCACAAUGGGACUGGGAAACGGCCCAGAAUCCUACGGGAGGGAGCAGUGGGGAAUCUUCCGAAAUGGACGAAAGGCUGACGGAACAACGCCGCGUGAGUGAUGACAGCCUUCGGGUUGUAAAGCUCUGUUAAUCGGGACGCGGUACCGGAAGAGAAAGCCACGGCUAACUACGUGCCAGCAGCCGCGGUAAUUC
rnacentral:rRNA from 1 species